rnacentral:rRNA from 2 species
GCUUACGGCCAUAUCACGUUGAAAGCACCGGUUCUCGUCCGAUCACCGAAGUUAAGCAACAUCGAGCCUAGUUAGUACUUAGAUGGGUGACCGCUUGGGAAACCUAGGUGCUGUAAGCA